UACGGAGGGGGCUAGCGUUGUCCGGAUUUACUGGGCGUAAAGCGCGCGCAGGCGGGCUGAUCAGUCCGGGGUGAAAUCUCACGGCUCAACUGUGAGCGGUCCCCGGAUACUGUCAGCCUUGAGAUGUCUAGGAGGAGAGCGGAAUACCCGGUGUAGUGGUGGAAUGCGUAGAUAUCGGGUAGAACACCAGUGGCGAAAGCGGCUCUCUGGGGACCAUCUGACGCUGAGGCGCGAAAGCGUGGGGAGCGAACCGG
rnacentral:rRNA from 1 species